rnacentral:rRNA from 1 species
GAGUUUGAUCUUGGCUCAGAUUGAACGCUGGCGGCGUGCCUUACACAUGCAAGUCGAACGGCAGCACGGGAGCUUGCUCCUGGUGGCGAGUGGCGAACGGGUGAGUAAUGCAUCGGAACGUAUCCUGGAGUGGGGGAUAACGUAGCGAAAGUUACGCUAAUACCGCAUAUUCUGUGAGCAGGAAAGCGGGGGACCUUCGGGCCUCGCGCUCUUGGAGCGGCCGAUGUCGGAUUAGCUAGUUGGUGAGGUAAAGGCUCACCAAGGCGACGAUCCGUAGCAGGUCUGAGAGGAUGAUCUGCCACACUGGAACUGAGACACGGUCCAGACUCCUACGGGAGGCAGCAGUGGGGAAUUUUGGACAAUGGGGGCAACCCUGAUCCAGCCAUGCCGCGUGAGUGAAGAAGGCC